UACGUAGGGUGCAAGCGUUAAUCGGAAUUACCGGGCGUAAAGCGUGCGCAGGCGGCUUUGCAAGACAGAUGUGAAAUCCCCCGGGCUUAACCUGGGAACUGCAUUUGUGACUGCAUGGCUGGAGUGCGGCAGAGGGGGAUGGAAUUCCGCGUGUAGCAGUGAAAUGCGUAGAUAUGCGGAGGAACACGAUGGCGAAGGCAAUCCCCUGGGCCUGCACUGACGCUCAUGCACGAAAGCGUGGGGAGCAAACAGG
rnacentral:rRNA from 1 species